GAUGAACGCUGGCGGCGUGCUUAACACAUGCAAGUCGAACGAUGAAGCCCAGCUUGUUGGGUGGUUUAGUGGCGAACGGGUGAGUAACACGUGAGUAACCUGCCCUUAACUCUGGGAUAAGCCUGGGAAACUGGGCCUAAUACCGGACAGGAGCGCCUACCGCAUGGAGGGUGUUGGAAAGAUUUAUCGGUUUUGGAUGGACUCGCGGCCUAUCAGCUUGUUGGUGAGGUAAUGGCUCACCAAGGCGACGAAGGGUAGCCGGCCUGGGAGGGUGACCGGCCACACUGGGACUGAGACACGGCCCAGACUCCUACGGGAGGCAGCAGUGGGGAAUAUUGCACAGUGGGCGAAAGCCUGAUGCAGCGACGCCGCGUGAGGGAUGACGGCCUUCGGGUUGUAAACCUCUUUCGGUAGGGAAGAAGCGAAAGUGACGGUACCUGCAGAAGAAGCACCGGCUAACUACGUG
rnacentral:rRNA from 1 species